rnacentral:rRNA from 1 species
UACGUAGGUGGCAAGCGUUGUCCGGAUUUAUUGAGCGUAAAGCGAGCGCAGGUGGUUUAUUAAGUCUGGUGUAAAAGGCAGUGGCUCAACCAUUGUAUGCAUUGGAAACUGGUAGACUUGAGUGCAGGAGAGGAGAGUGGAAUUCCAUGUGUAGCGGUGAAAUGCGUAGAUAUAUGGAGGAACACCGGUGGCGAAAGCGGCUCUCUGGCCUGUAACUGACACUGAGGCUCGAAAGCGUGGGGAGCAAACAGG